rnacentral:rRNA from 1 species
AGCUUCUAAGCUUCAGGUAACCAGGAACCGUACCCCAAACCGACACAGGUGGUUGGGUAGAGAAUACCAAGGCGCUUGAGAGAACUCGGGUGAAGGAACUAGGCAAAAUGGCACCGUAACUUCGGGAGAAGGUGCGCCGGUGAGGGUGAAGCAUUUACUGCGUAAGCCCAUGCCGGUCGAAGAUACCAGGCCGCUGCGACUGUUUAUUAAAAACACAGCACUCUGCAAACACGAAAGUGGACGUAUAGGGUGUGACGCCUCCCCGGUGCCGGAAGGUUAAUUGAUGGGGUUAGCUAACGCGAAGCUCUUGAUCGAAGCCCCGGUAAACGGCGGCCGUAACAAUAACGGUCCUAAGGUAGCGAAAUUCCUUGUCGGGUAAGUUCCGACCUGCACGAAUGGCGUAACGAUGGCGGCGCUGUCUCCACCCGAGACUCAGUGAAAUUGAAAUCGCUGUGAAGAUGCAGUGUAUCCGCGGCUAGACGGAAAGACCCCGUGAACCUUUACUAUAGCUUUGCACUGGACUUUGAAUUUGCUUGUGUAGGAUAGGUGGGAGGCUUUGAAGCGUGGACGCCAGUUCGCGUGGAGCCAACCUUGAAAUACCACCCUGGCAACUUUGAGGUUCUAACUCAGGUCCGUUAUCCGGAUCGAGGACAGUGUAUGGUGGGUAGUUUGACUGGGGCGGUCUCCUCCUAAAGAGUAACGGAGGAGUACGAAGGUGCGCUCAGACCGGUCGGAAAUCGGUCGUAGAGUAUAAAGGCAAAAGCGCGCUUGACUGCGAGACAGACACGUCGAGCAGGUACGAAAGUAGGUCUUAGUGAUCCGGUGGUUCUGUAUGGAAGGGCCAUCGCUCAACGGAUAAAAGGUACUCCGGGGAUAACAGGCUGAUACCGCCCAAGAGUUCAUAUCGACGGCGGUGUUUGGCACCUCGAUGUCGGCUCAUCACAUCCUGGGGCUGAAGCCGGUCCCAAGGGUAUGGCUGUUCGCCAUUUAAAGUGGUACGCGAGCUGGGUUUAGAACGUCGUGAGACAGUUCGGUCCCUAUCUGCCGUGGACGUUUGAGAUUUGAGAGGGGCUGCUCCUAGUACGAGAGGACCGGAGUGGACGAACCUCUGGUGUUCCGGUUGUCACGCCAGUGGCAUUGCCGGGUAGCUAUGUUCGGAAUAGAUAACCGCUGAAAGCAUCUAAGCGGGAAACUAGCCUCAAGAUGAGAUCUCACUGGGACCUUGAGUCCCCUGAAGGGCCGUCGAAGACUACGACGUUGAUAGGUUGGGUGUGUAAGCGCUGUGAGGCGUUGAGCUAACCAAUACUAAUUGCCCGUGAGGCUUGAUC